rnacentral:rRNA from 1 species
GUAGUCAUAUGCUUGUCUCAAAGAUUAAGCCAUGCAUGUCUAAGUAUAAACACGUUAUACUGUGAAACUGCGAAUGGCUCAUUAAAUCAGUUAUAGUUUAUUUGAUGGUUUUUGCUACAUGGAUAACUGUGGUAAUUCUAGAGCUAAUACAUGCGUACAAGCCCCGACUUCUGGAAGGGGUGUAUUUAUUAGAUAAAAAUCAACACUGUUGGUGAAUCAUGAUAACUUCUCGGAUCGCAUGGCCUCGUGCUGGCGAUACUUCAUUCAAAUAUCUGCCCUAUCAACUGUCGAUGGUAGGAUAGAGGCCUACCAUGGUUGCAACGGGUAACGGGGAAUAACGGCGAAU